ACCAGUAACCGCUCACCGUCCCCUCCUCAGGUUACUCAUAACCUUCAUCUGGUUUUUUUCUUGUUAACUGUUAAACCAGCAAUAUCCAACCAGUUCACUGCUGCUUUGGAGAAAAAGAAAAAAGAAAAAAAAAAACAGGGCAUGGAGAGGAGGAGGUGUUCUCUUUCUGCCCCCAGUGCAAAACAAACAACAACAAGGUGUAAAGUCUGAGUGUGGUGACAACAGGGGGUUCCCAUAAUUUCUGCAAUUUUUGAAAUUUUGGAGCGUAGGAUGGAGGGAAGGGUAAUGGGAAACAGGGAACUAUAAACCUGGAGAAAAGGAAAAAGAAUGGAAAAUGAAGGCAGGAAUGCUCAGAAAUAGGCGGAGGCAGGACCAAAGAACUGUGUGGGGUGGUGACAGCGCUUUCUGGCCACAGCUUGUUUCGGGUGGGGAAUAUUCCGUGUGGCUGGUUGUGUGGUGUCAGGGCUGGGGAGCAGGAGAGGCUCAGGGCUGGGGAGAAAACACUGUAAAUAUAAAAAUGCUAUGUAGUACUGAGAGCUCAGGUAAGAGAGUUUAAGGAUCUAUUUUAAACUGCUCCUCACCUUUCCCACACAAACCAAACGUGGAUUCUUCACAGGUAUUUUCUGAUUUACCCCUGUUUUAGCUUCCCCUGCCACUGGGCUUAAAUGCAUUCUUUAAAAAAAAAUAAUAUUAAACCAAAGAAAUACUAUACUUUAGAAGAUUCUUCAUAAGGAAGCCGUAUCAAUUUCUGCCUCUUUCAUUUCUUUCCUCUUGAAACAUCAUUCACCAGUUCUGGGUUCUGUUCCCAGAUGUGCCCAACGUUGAAGGUGACGGGUGUUAAAGCCAGGGGUGUGUGUCCCGUGUGAGGGGCUGGGGUGGAGGGGCCAUGCCCUGCUCUGCAGAGGGAAUCACAUCCUGCACCAGCUCCAUUUCCCUUCAGCCAUUCCUUACCUCAGGCCUCCAGAUACCGGCGUCCUGAGUCAGGGAAGGAGAAUGUGACAUCAGCCUGGGAAUACGUAUGAGUAGAAAUAAAUCGGUAAAGUUCUUCAUUUUCAUCCCAUCAUAAACCAUUACAAAAUAAGGAAAUAAUUGAUCUAAGGUAAAGUUAAUGUGAAAAAAAAACCUGCUUAGACAACUGAGCUGGAUUUUUAACUGUAGCAACUCUUUGUAAGGCACAUAAAGUCUGUGCCCAGGUGGCUGGACUGAUGCUUCCCCCCUGUUAGAGGACAGUGGGGCGUGGGACAGGAGCGGCAGCCCCUUCCUGUUGCUCGGUGGGUUUGGAUUUCUCUUCCAAAAGGCAAAAUAUGAGGUUCCUGAGUUUCUGUUGCUUGUUGGGAGGUAAAGUCAAGAAGCUAUAAAGUGAUUUCGCCCUUGGUAGUAUUUACCUUGCUCAGUUUGGACACAGAUGUCACGUGAGAGCUUUUGUAAAAACCCCAAACUGAGAACAAACUACAAGCUUUUUUGUUUUUUGUUUUUUUUUAAAGAUACCCCUAAAAUUAUUGUGAUGUUUGUUCUGGUGAUGUAAAGCUGUGCCUGAUUCACACUGUUCCACAUUCUUACAAGGCAGCGACUUGUACCCACUUAACUGCUCAGUGGGGCUGGAGGCAAGAGGGGUUUGGAACGAGAGGAUCAGGGUCAUUUGUGGGUUUCCAGUUCUUCCUGAGCCAAAUCCCUCUCAAACGCUGUGUGUGACCACACUCCCCUGGCGGGGGGUUUAGUUUCAGUCCUGGGCAGGGUUAUAAGCCUUUCUGGGGAGGAAAAAAAUACAUUUUUUAAGUAACAUCCUCCAAUUAGUCAUUCAUUAGGUUUUGCCAUUAUUAUUCUUUUUUUUUUUACUUCCCACAGGAGCCCUUAACCCACCCCCUUUCCUCCCAGUCCCCCCAGUAAAACCUGGUCACCCAGUGCUGACCAGAGCUUCGCUGGUACCACCGUGACUCACAGUACAGAGUGUCACCUUCCCGAAAAUGAGAUUUCUGCUCACUUUCUGAGUUGCAAAUUCUUGAGGCUGGGGAGGAGGGGGAGGAAUCUUUCCAUGCCCAGCAGUAAAAAAAAAUAAAUAAAUAAAAUAGGGUAUUUAUUCUUCCCAAGAAGCAAAGCAGUUGUUAAAUACCUUUUCCCAGCACUUUACUUAAAACCUGAUUAGGUGAUGUUGAGCUCUGGAGCUGUAACUGGUACUUCCAUAACUCCAUGAUUUUUUUUGAAAACCACUCUCCCCCAGGACACGCUCUAGACUGUAUUAUUUGGGAAUAUAAUAAAUAGACUUUCUAAAGAAACUCCAGGCAUGAACACAAUUGCAUGAAAAAAUAAUAAUAAUGGGGUUUUUUUCUGUACUUUUGUGCAAUGUUGGUGCUGUUGGGUCGUACUUUGCACAUUUCUGGUCUUGUUUUUCCUUUCCUUGCUACUAUUUGUCAUGGUGGUGUGGGUUUUAGGUGCAAAAUAGCUUCUUUAUUCUUUUUUUUUUUAAAGGAGUAUCUGGUAAUUAUCAAGCCUCGUUUAUGCUUUUUAGUUGAGUUAUGGGUGUACGGCAUAUUCUAUUCAGUAAUGGAAAAGCUGCGUUAUUAAUUUGUGAGGAAAGUUAAUGCAUUUUUAAUGUAAAACUUCACUGUAAGAAGAGGUUCAAGACCACAAGGAGCACUUAAAAUAAUGUCACACUCGGAGUAAGCGCAUUAGGAGCAUUCCCUUUAAAAAUACAUCAACUUUUAUUCACUUUUUCGUUAUUUUAAUUUUUUUUAAGCAGAGCAAAAGCAGCAGUUUGCCUUAUGCUCCCCAGGGCCCCGUAGGGCAGUGUCAGACACGGCCGGCGUCGCGGUCCCGCCAGCGCAGGUCCUUCUCCUUUUGCUGCUGCCCCGGCCCAGAUCUCAGCUCCUCAGCUCACACCAGAAAGGAAAACAGCUUCAUGGGGGCAGGUAUUUCUGAAGGCAGUGGAAAAGUCUGUCGAAAAAUAAUGUAUUUUUGCAGUCUUUCACCUGGAAAUCCACGGCAGCAGUCGCUCCGUCCUCUCCUCCUCAGGUCACCUUAGGAAAAAACUAUUUGAGCGUAGUUCUUUAAGCUUAAAAUCCAGUUGUCUGGUCAGAUUUGUUGUGUUUCAUUAUGGAGUGUGUCGGAUAAUCCCUCUUGCUUUAACAAAAAAAAUAACAAAAAAGAAAAAAAAGACAAAAAAAAAAUAAAAAAAGAGGUAUUUUAACCUAGUCCAAAGGUAUGGUCAUGUAUUACUGUAAUAAGGAUCAUGGUUUUAAGUGUAUUCCAUUUUGGUUUCCACCAUGAACAUCUAAUCCCUGUAACAAUGUUGUAUGUUUAUUUAAAGUAUAUAUAUUAUAUAUAUUAAAAAAGAAAUAAUUAAAUGUCAGAUUUUUUGCAUUAAGAUUUUUUUAAAUUUGAAUAUGAACUUUGAGUACUUUAUUUCACCAAAAAAAGAGAAAUAUUAAGAAAUACUUUCCUGGAGUGUUCAGUUUCAGAAUUCAAGAUUAUAUUUGUCAAAUUUAAGUUUAAAAUAUGUAGCUAAUGUUGUUUUCUGAUAUUGACUGUAAAUAUUUGUAAAAAGAAAUUCUUUUGUAUAUUUUUGUGAAAAUGUAGUUCCCCAAAAGAUAUGAAAGAUUUAAUAAAAAAGUGCAUUUAUGUUGCUGCUCAA